UACGUAGGUGACAAGCGUUGUCCGGAUUUACUGGGCGUAAAGGGCGCGUAGGCGGCUCGGCACGUCCGUUGUGAAAUCGCCCGGCUCAACUGGGCGGGGUCAGCGGAUACGGCCGAGCUGGAGCAAGCUAGGGGGUAAUGGAAUUCCCGGUGUAGUGGUGGAAUGCGUAGAUAUCGGGAGGAACACCAGUGGCGAAGGCGGUUACCUGGAGCUUUGCUGACGCUGAUGCGCGAAAGCGUGGGGAGCGAUCCGG
rnacentral:rRNA from 1 species